GGGUGAGUAACACGUGGGUAAUCUACCCUUUGGUGUGGAAUAACCCUGGGAAACCGGGGCUAAUACCGCAUAAGCUCGAGAGAGGAAAGCAGCAAUGCGCCGAAGGAGGAGCCCGCGGCCGAUUAGCUAGUUGGUGAGGUAAAAGCCCACCAAGGCAAAGAUCGGCAGCCGGCCUGAGAGGGCACACGGCCACACUGGCACUGAAACACGGGCCAGACUCCCACGGGAGGCAGCAGUGGGGAAUCUUGCACAAUGGGGGAAACCCUGAUGCAGCGACGCCGCGUGAGCGAUGAAGCCCUUCGGGGUGUAAAGCUCUUUCGGCAGGGAAGAAUAAUGACGGUACCUGCAGAAGCAGCUGCGGCUAACUACGUGCCAGCAGCCGCGGUAAUACGUAGGCAGCGAGCGUUGUUCGGAGUUACUGGGCGUAAAGGGUGUGUAGGCGGUUAUUUAAGUUUGGUGUGAAAUCUCCCGGCUCAACUGGGAGGGUGCGCCGAAUACUGAGUGACUAGAGUGCGGGAGAGGAAAGUGGAAUUCCUGGUGUAGCGGUGAAAUGCGUAGAUAUCAGGAGGAACACCGGUGGUGUAGACGGCUUUCUGGACCGUAACUGACGCUGAGACACAAAAGCGUGGGUAGCAAACAGGAUUAGAUACCCUGGUAGUCCACGCCCUAAACGAUGCACAUUUGGUGUGGGUCAUUCAGUUGAUCCGUGCCGGAGCUAACGCGUUAAAUGUGCCGCCUGGGGAGUACAGUCGCAAGGCUGAAACUCAAAGGAAUUGACGGGGGCCCGCACAAGCGGUGGAGCAUGUGGUUCAAUUCGACGCAACGCGAAGAACCUUACCUGGGCUCGAACGGCCGGUCAACGGCGGUGGAAACACUGCUGCCCCGCAAGGGGGUCCGGUCGAGGUGCUGCAUGGCUGUCGUCAGCUCGUGUCGUGAGAUGUUGGGUUAAGUCCCGCAACGAGCGCAACCCUUGUCCUGUGUUGCCAUGCCGAAAGGCGGAACUCGCAGGAGACCGCCAGCGAUAAGCUGGAGGAAGGUGGGGAUGACGUCAAGUCCUCAUGGCCUUUAUGUCCAGGGCUACACACGUGCUACAAUGGCCGGUACAAAGCGUCCCGAACCCGCGAGGGGAAGGCAAUCGCAAAAAACCGGUCUCAGUUCGGAUUGCAGGCUGCAACUCGCCUGCAUGAAGCUGGAAUCGCUAGUAAUGGCAGAUCAGCACGCUGCCGUGAAUACGUUCCCGGGCCUUGUACACACCGCCCG
rnacentral:rRNA from 1 species